ACAUCAAUUGACUGUCUCUGAGGUUGAGGACAUUUUGAAGAUCCUUAAUGCCCUGAAGAUAUUAAAAGGAAGUUGAACUGGAUAUACAUUCGGGUGACCAGCUCUAUCAGUCUGGUUCACAGAGGAGGGCUAUGUGGAACUGAGCUGCAGGGAAUCUGAAAUGGACAUGUAAGGCUUAACAUUGGAUUGGGAAGUUGAUGAGAAAGUGUUCCUGGGCCUUUUGUGUGGUGAUAGCAAACAAUAUCUUCAGUCCAGGAUGCUGAUUGAGAGGGA